rnacentral:rRNA from 1 species
UACAGAGGUCCCAAGCGUUGUUCGGAUUUACUGGGCGUAAAGGGUGCGUAGGUGGCGGGGUAAGUCUGGUGUGAAAGCUCCGAGCUCAACUCGGAAAAGCAUUGGAAACUAUCCCGCUUGAGGGUCGGAGGGGAGACUGGAAUUCUCGGUGUAGCAGUGAAAUGCGUAGAUAUCGAGAGGAACACCAGUGGCGAAGGCGAGUCUCUGGACGACUCCUGACACUGAGGCACGAAAGCUAGGGGGAGCAAACAGG